UACGUAGGGGGCAAGCGUUGUCCGGAAUCAUUGGGCGUAAAGCGCGCGUAGGCGGCCCGGUAAGUCCGUUGUGAAAGUCAAAGGCUCAACCUUUGAACGCCGAUGGAUACUGUCGGGCUCGAGUCCGGAAGAGGCGAGUGGAAUUCCUGGUGUAGCGGUGAAAUGCGCAGAUAUCAGGAGGAACACCAAUGGCGAAGGCAGCUCGCUGGGACGUGACUGACGCUGAGACGCGAAAGCGUGGGAGCAAACAGG
rnacentral:rRNA from 1 species